AACAGUAAGCAGCAACCUGCAGCACAACAGGGAACCUGCAGCAAGGCUCCACACCUGGGGCAAUCUUCCAGGGAGGUCCUACCCUCCUGCAAACCAGGAGAACUCUAAGCAAGUGAGCAGUCUAUGUAGCACAAAAGGUCUCACCCCAUUGAUACCUCUCCUAGCACAAGCCAUCUGGGAGGCACUGACUGAUCCCUCUCCAGUAAGCUCAGUUCCUGGGGCCUACCAGUAGAGAAACCUUGUUUCCAUAGCAACCCAGCAGCAGAGCCCCACCUCUGGAGCAGACCAGUAGGAAGAACUCUCCUCCAUGACCAGUCAUCAGAAAGACUGUUAUCAUAGCAAUCCAGUAGCAAGACCUCACCCAUGAAACAGGCCAGAAACUAAACCCCACACCCAGGGGAGGCCAAAGGGGAAUCCCCAGGACAAACCAGAAGGGAAGACUUCUUCCAGCAAAAGUAAACAACUAGCUGGAAAGCUCAGUGAAAGCCAGAAGUGAGAACCAAAGCCCAAGCACAAAAAAAAUUGAGAAGAGAAAUUGGAGAUGAGAAGACAGGUGAUUUGCCCAUCACCCUAUAACUAGCAAGAGUCAGAGGGACUGUACACCAGGACUCAGAUGCCAAGACUUGAUUCUGUCUACUAUGAGACCGUAUGAACUUUAUUUUUACCUAAAUAAUAUUUUAUUUUUUCCAAUUAUAUAUAAAGAUAGUUUGCAACAUUCAUUUUUGUAAGAUUUUCAGUUCUAACUUCCUCCCCUCAAAACUUCCCUACUUCCCCCUCUACAAUAAAGCAAGAAAUCUGGUAUAGGUCAUACAUGUGCAAUCAUUUUAAACAUAUUUCCAUACUAGUCAUGUUGUGAAAGAAAAAUCAGAACAAAAGGAAAAAAAACACAAAAGCACACCAAAAUAAAAGAUGAAAACAGAAUGCUUUGUUCUGCAUUCAGUCUUCUUAUUUUUUCCUCUGGAUAUGGAUGGCAUUUUCCAUCCUAAGUCUAUUGGAAUUGUUUUGAAUCACUGUAUUGCUGAGAAGAGAUAAGUCUAUUAUAGUUGAGCAUCAGAUAAUCUUUUUGUAAGUGUGUACAAUGUUCUCCUGGUUGUGUUCAUUUCACUCAGCAUCAGUUUUAUAUGACCUUUUUUGCUAAUAAAGGAUUAAAGUAGUGCGGAAAAGGAAAUCUUUACCAUACCUUAACCUGGUUUCCUGGUGAAUGACUGAAUGAGGUAUGAAGCAUGGUCUGGAUAUAGUGGGUUAGAUGAACUCAUAUUCACUCAGCAGUUUACCACUCUGGCAAAAUUAAAAA